CUUUUGUCGGGUUCAUCCAUGGAUUCUCCUCCGCCCCUUCGCCUUCUUCCAACAAAUCUUCCCACCACAUAAUCUCCUUCCCUUCAUUCACUGGGUUUUGGUCUGGGCGCCGAGGAGAUUGCGUCGGCUGUAGUCGGAGAAGGAUCGAGGUCGAGGCUUUAUAACUUCGAUUUUCCGAACAGUGAAUGGUACGUACAGAACAAGUGGGUUGACACUUUUUGGUGGAAAAAAGGGACAACAGUUAUUGAGAACGUAGAAAACGGGGACCAAAAGCUCGAAAGAAGCCAAGGCGAGGGCCGUCGUGAUUUAUUGACAGCAUCUUUUGGGGAAAGUGAAGAAUUGUAAAUGGACCCUAUGAAAUUUAAUAACCCUUUUCGAUCAUUACAAGCCUUAAAACUGUGUAAUUGAUUAGGGGAAUCUAUGGCGCAAUUACC